rnacentral:rRNA from 1 species
UAAAACGUAGGUCACAAGCGUUGUCCGGAAUUACUGGGUGUAAAGGGAGCGCAGGCGGGAGAACAAGUUGGAAGUGAAAUCCAUGGGCUCAACCCAUGAACUGCUUUCAAAACUGUUUUUCUUGAGUAGUGCAGAGGUAGGCGGAAUUCCCGGUGUAGCGGUGGAAUGCGUAGAUAUCGGGAGGAACACCAGUGGCGAAGGCGGCCUACUGGGCACCAACUGACGCUGAGGCUCGAAAGUGUGGGUAGCAAACAGGAUUAGAUACCCUGGUAGUCCACACCGUAAACGAUGAUUACUAGGUGUUGGAGGAUUGACCCCUUCAGUGCCGCAGUUAACACAAUAAGUAAUCCACCUGGGGAGUACGACCGCAAGGUUGAA